ensembl:snoRNA
UGUGCAUGUGUGUGUGUGUGUGUAACUGGUAGGCAAAUACAUAAAAUACAGGUACAAAAAUAAAUACUUUUGCAACUCAAAACUCAGUGUUCAUUAUUCAUUUUGAUACAUAUAAGAAUGGUAUG